rnacentral:lncRNA from 1 species
GCACUGCAAAUCUAGUUAACCCGUGCCCCCCUCGCUUGCCCCGACUCCGCCGCCGCACAAUUCAUCCCUCCGCGGCCCUUUCCCCGCUCCCCGGCGGGUCCGAGGUGCCCCGGAGACCCCGCGCCGGAGGUGGAAACCCGCUAACGCACGCAAAAGUGAAGGGGUCGGCCGCGAAAAGAUGAUUAACCGGCUGACGACGAGGGUCAAAAAAAUUGUAAUCUUAAAAAUGUGUCAAAAUACAAGAAAAAUUCAAAAUUAAAGGUCAAAAAAUGCCCCCAAGCUCCUCCGGAGCUUGACCACCCUAUUUGUCUCCAAAAAUUGAAGGGGUCGGCCGCGAAAAGAUGAUUAACCGGCUGAAAAGAUAAAAAGAGGGGUGCAACACGAGGACUUCCCAAGAGGUCACCCAUCUUAGUACUGCUCUCGCCCAAGCACGCUUAACUGCGGAGUUCUGAUGGGAUCCGGUGCAUUAGUGCUGGUAUGGUCGCACCCAUCAGCAUGUGCACUGCAAAUCUACUUAACCCGUGCCCCCCUCGCCUGCCCCGACUCGGCCGCCGCACAAUUCAUCCCUCCGCGGCCCUUUCCCCGCUCCCCGGCGGGUCCGAGGUGCCCCGGAGACCCCGCGCCGGCGGUCCAAACCCGCUAACGCACGCAAAAGUGAAGGGGUCGGCCGCGAAAAGAUGAUUAACCGGCUGACGACGAGGGUCAAAAAAAUUGUAAUCUUAAAAAUGUGUCAAAAUACAAGAAAAAUUCGAAAUUAAGGGUCAAAAAACGCCCCCAAGCUCCUCCGGAACUUGACCACCCUAUUUGUCUCCAAAAAUUGAAGGGGUCGGCCGCGAAAAGAUGAUUAACCGGCUGAAAAGAUAAAAAGAGGGGUGCAACACGAGGACUUCCCAAGAGGUCACCCAUCUUAGUACUGCUCUCGCCCAAGCACGCUUAACUGCGGAGUUCUGAUGGGAUCCGGUGCAUUAGUGCUGGUAUGGUCGCACCCAUCAGCAUGUGCACUGCAAAUCUACUUAACCCGUGCCCCCCUCGCCUGCCCCGACUCGGCCGCCGCACAAUUCAUCCCUCCGCGGCCCUUUCCCCGCUCCCCGGCGGGUCCGAGGUGCCCCGGAGACCCCGCGCCGGCGGUCCAAACCCGCUAACGCACGCAAAAGUGAAGGGGUCGGCCGCGAAAAGAUGAUUAACCGGCUGACGACGAGGGUCAAAAAAAUUGUAAUCUUAAAAAUGUGUCAAAAUACAAGAAAAAUUCGAAAUUAAGGGUCAAAAAACGCCCCCAAGCUCCUCCGGAACUUGACCACCCUAUUUGUCUCCAAAAAUUAUGCAGUUUAAAAAAAAAAACGC